rnacentral:rRNA from 1 species
AACGAACGCUGGCGGCAUGCCUAACACAUGCAAGUCGAACGAGACCUUCGGGUCUAGUGGCGCACGGGUGCGUAACGCGUGGGAACCUGCCCUUAGGUUCGGAAUAACUCCCCGAAAGGGGUGCUAAUACCGCAUAAUGUCUUCGGACCAAAGAUUUAUCGCCUUUGGAUGGGCCCGCGUUGGAUUAGCUAGUUGGUAGGGUAAAAGCCUACCAAGGCGACGAUCCAUAGCUGGUCUGAGAGGAUGAUCAGCCACACUGGGACUGAGACACGGCCCAGACUCCUACGGGAGGCAGCAGUGGGGAAUAUUGGACAAUGGGCGAAAGCCUGAUCCAGCAAUGCCGCGUGAGUGAUGAAGGCCUUAGGGUUGUAAAGCUCUUUUACCCGGGAUGAUAAUGACAGUACCGGGAGAAUAAGCUCCGGCUAACUCCGUG